CGUAGGGUCCGAGCGUUGUCCGGAAUUAUUGGGCGUAAAGGGCUCGUAGGCGGUCCGUCACGUCGGGAGUGAAAACUCAGGGCUCAACCCUGAGCGUGCUUCCGAUACGGGCGGACUAGAGGUAUGCAGGGGAGAACGGAAUUCCUGGUGUAGCGGUGGAAUGCGCAGAUAUCAGGAGGAACACCGGUGGCGAAGGCGGUUCUCUGGGCAUUACCUGACGCUGAGGAGCGAAAGCAUGGGGAGCGAACAGGAUUGGAUACCCUGGUAGUCCAUGCCGUAAACGUUGGGCGCUAGGUGUGGGGACCUUCCACGGUUUCCGUGCCGCAGCUAACGCAUUAAGCGCCCCGCCUGGGGAGUACGGCCGCAAGGCUA
rnacentral:rRNA from 1 species